AAAUCAUCUUCAUUCUCUCCCAAUCAUCACAAUCGCAAUUCUACGGUGUAAAGCUUUCUACUACUAAUUCUUGUUCUAUCACUACUUGUUUUAUUUCA